CAUGACCCUAGAGGCACUUCAGGUGUGGCUUCUGUGUCACAUGGGCAUCAGUAGGUGGCAGAGAGGACAGGGCCUAUGUGUAUGCUCUGACCUAUGAACAUCUGAAUGGUUAAUAAGUAGCCUAAUAUU